UUAGGAGCGCUGACUGACGGGCUGCACCAGAACUGGGCUCCAGGGUGUGGGUGUAGGGAGUGCCCAGCAGGAACAUUCCAGACCUCUUGUGAGCAAUAUCAAUCAAGUCAGGCUUGUCUGGUUUUAGUGUUUUUCCUAGGCUAGGCUUGGCUUCCCGGUCACUGUGUAGUUGAAGCUGGCUUUUCAACCUCUGAUCCUCCUGCCUCAUCCUUCCGAGUGUCCGGAUGGUAGGCCUGAGCCAUCUUGUUUGACUCUGUGGUGCUAGGGUGUCCUGUCCGAUGGGCAAGAGUGCUGCCCACUAAACCGUACUUCCUGUUUGUUUUUUAUUUCAAGAUAGGGUCUCAGUACCUCAUACUGUCCUGGAAGUUACUGUGUUGUCCGGGCUUCGCUCCCACCCCCACCAAUCCUCUGGCCUCAGCAUCUAGUAUGUUUCCACUGUUGUGCAACCAUCCACGGAGGGAGGAGGAGAGAGGGAGAGUCCGUCGUGUGACAGUGCUCACGUGGAGGGGGAAAAGAGAGAGGAGGCUGGCGGAAGCCCUUUCUGAGGGGACUUUGCUGAUGACUGUCAGGACCCAGCAGAGACCAGAGGAUAGAAUAAUAUUCCAUCGCAGUGGACGUCCUGCUGGGGGCUUGUUCAUUUGUCUCGGGUCAUGCUCUGGUGUUUGGGAGUGAAGAAAUGCCUCAUUGAGCCCCUGCUUUUGCCUCUUCUGAGCAGCCACAUGGAAAUCAGGGUUGCAGGGAGCAAACUCGGGUCCUCUACCUGCUGAGCCCUCCUGCUGACCCGCAGGCUCAUCUCCAGCUGCCUCCUCUCUGGUAGCCGAACACAGGUGCACUUCCAGGCUGGGAUCGCAGGCUGCGCGACAGGAAUGCAACGCAGUGUCUUCCUGCAGCUCCAGCUGAACUUCAGCUCCAUGGACUCUGUUAUUGACUGUGAUGGACUGUAAUAAAUGCAGCCUCUGGAAGGUGUAAUUUCAAGAACUUUUACGGCAGCGCACACCCAUGGAGCCAUUCUGCCCCAAGCUGGAUGUGUCUUGUCUCUUGGGCUGUUCCUCUUCUGCCCAUGGUGGGCGUCAGGGAUUAUCACUGCACUUGCACUAAGGAAGGACCCUGAAGGGCAGAAGCAGGAACUUAACAAGUUCAAAGGCCUCUAGGUUACAAAGAGCAUAUAAAGACAGACACUGUCACUCACAGCAAAGAGCGGUCAGGUGUGGUGGCCCAUGCCUUAAGUCCCAGCACUUAGGAGGUAGGGGCUGACAGAGCUCCAAGAAUCCAAGGCCAGCCUGCUCUACCGUAGUCAGUUGAAGACCAGCUGGGGCUACUUUGUGCCCUAUGCCAAAACAACAAAAGUAUACCUGGCGGCCGGGGCGUGGUCAGGGAAGUCCCACCUAGAAUCCCCAGUGAGGGGCUAGGGGCGUGGUCAGUGUGGAGUCCCGCCCAGAAUCCGCCCAGAGAGGGGGCUGAGGGCAUGGUCAGGAUGGAGCCCCACCUAGAUCCCCCCAGUGAGGGGCUGGGGCUUGGUCAGGGUGGAAACCCUCCCACCCCGCUUAGAAUCCCCUUUGGGGGCUGGGGGCGUGCUCAGGGUGGAGCUCUAGAAAACCCUGGGCUUAAUGCCUGGUACUAAAUAAUAAUAACAAAAACUGAACUGCUGUUAUGCCUUUGAAGAUCACUAGUCCUUGCUGUGGACCUCUGGCCAGGCUCCUGUUACCUUGUUUUGUGGCUCUGACUAGUCUAAGGGAGAACGGUAUGUCAGAGGUGUGUCUGCCUCUAUCCAGCUCAGUGGACACGGUGGAUGUGGGAAUGGUGUAUGCACUGGGCACUCCUGUCUCCGGUGGCUGUGUGCUGACCCUCCCCCGUUUUCUAGCCCUUCAGCCCUUCGCAGGUUUAUGACUGAGGGCACAGGGCAUCUCACACCUCGCUGUUGCCUGCCUUACCUCUGAUCUUUCCCAGCCCGUAUCUGACUUAUCACCAGCCCCAAUAACAUCCUCCGGGCACCUUGUUACACUCCGAGGAAUAACUGUGUAAUGGCUUUCCUGAUAGUGCUAACUCAAGGUGACCCUUGUCUUGCUGAGCCGAAGUGGAACGACUCACCUGUGUGGUGGCUGAGGUUGCUGGAAAACCGUCUUCUCCCGUCUGGACACUCAAGGACCCUGCUGGGCAGUGAUUAAUGCCCCAGCUAAAUCCAUUCCUGCACAUAAAUAGAAGAUACAAGGUUUCACGGUUUGCUUGUGUUGUUUUACUUUGAGGCAGGAUGUCUCUGU